CGAGAUUGAUGCUGCUCAGCCUUGAGGACAAGGCUGAUUUGAAGAGGGAGGAACUGUUAGGACCCUUUUUCUGAGCUUUUGAAUAAUGUUUAUUGAGUCUGUUUAGUCCAUUUGUUUAUUGAGUCGGUUUGGUUCAGUUAGAGUCAAGUAGAGGUUUAUCUAAUAUUUAUUUAUUAUUAAAGUUCAAGUCCUGAUGGACUCUGGGUGGAACUCUAUAAAUAGGGAUGUAACUGCUUCUUUUCAGUAAUCUAUGAAAAAUACUAUUUUGUCUUUGGACAACCCUAGGAGGCCGAUCCCCUCGAAGUGAUCAAGGAGGGCCGAUCCCCUCGAAGUGAUCAAGGAGGGCCGAUCCCGUCGAAGCGAUCAAGGAGGCCGAUCCCCUCGAAGUGAUCAUUAUCAUCCCAUUUCUCCCCUUUCUUCGACGAUAAGACUUUAG
rnacentral:lncRNA from 1 species